UGGCUUUUCAUUAGUGUAAAGAGCUUUUGGAAUAAGAGCUGGGCAAGACCGGUGCCAGCCGCCGCGGUAACACCGGCAGCUCUAGUGGUAACAAUUUUUAUUGGGCCUAAAGCGUCCGUAGCCGGUUUAAUAAGUCUCUGGUGAAAUCCUGUAGCUUAACUGUGGGAAUUGCUGGAGAUACUAUUAGACUUGAGACCGGGAGAGGUUAGAGGUACUCCCAGGGUAGAGGUGAAAUUCUGUAAUCCUGGGAGGACCGCCUGUUGCGAAGGCGUCUAACUGGAACGGUUCUGACGGUGAGGGACGAAAGUUAGGGGCGCGAACCGGAUUAGAUACCCGGGUAGUCCUAACUGUAAACGAUGCGGACUUGGUGUUGGGGUGGCUUUGAGCUGCUCCAGUGCCGAAGGGAAGCUGUUAAGUCCGCCGCCUGGGAAGUACGGUCGCAAGACUGAAACUUAA
rnacentral:rRNA from 1 species